CCCUGGGACCUGCAGUGGGUUCAACCAUGUUGUCACAUGUGUAUUGGCUAUUUGGAUAUACUGUUUCCUGUACCCAUUCAAACGUCUUGCUGAUCUUCCACUGGAUUAUCUAAUUUGAUUAGUAUAAAUCCUUUAUAUGUUCUGGAUAUGAGUAAUUGGUCAAGUAUAUAUGCUACAAAAAAUCUUAUCUGAUUCUGGAGUUCUGCUGUUUAACUCUCCUAAUAGUGGUUUUUGAUAAACAGAUUUUAAAAAUUUGAAUACAGUCUAAUUUAACAAUCUUUUUCUCUGUGGUUAGUACACUUUUUCUUCUGCUUGCAUAGUAAUUGCUGACUCAAGAUUAUGAAGAUAUCCUCCCUCCCAUAUUAGCUUCUAGAAGUUGUAUGUUGUAUAUGUCACAUUAAGAUUUGCAAUCCAUUGAGGACUGAUAUUUGUAUAUGCUAUGAGAAAAAGAACAGCAAGAAGCAAUUGAACACAUUGAUGAAGUUCAAAAUGAAAUAGAGGGGAAGCUCCUCUCCCUUCUUUGUGAUCUGGGCAAUGCAUGUCUUGCUGUUAUUGCUGCUUAUUCAGGACACAUAUAUUUCUCAGUGUGAAGACUUUUUAGAAUACGUAUUCCAUUCAUAUUGCUGGAAGUAGGAGUCACACAGAUUUCAGGUCAGACUUAGAAGUCACACCAAGAAAGGAAAUCACCUUCAACUCUUCAAAAGGAUACCACAGAGCCCUAAAAUCAAGUAGGAAAGAAAAAAAAAGAACAUCCCCCAAACAAUUUUUGUGUGAAGAUACUGCUACAAUACUUCCGGGCCAGAUUGUUUUUAGUGCUGCCAUCCCGGAUUCUUCACAGUGAGGUGGGGCCUGGUUGGAGCUGAGUGGAUCAGGCGCACACUUCUCCUUCACUGUUCUCAUGAUAGUGGGUAAGUUCUGACGAGAUCUGGAUGUUUGUAAGUGUGUGGCACCUCUUCCAACUCUCUUUUCCUCCUACUCCAGGCAUGUAAGACAUACCUGCUUCCCCUUCACCUUUCACCAUGACUGAAAGUUUGCUGAGGCCUCCCCAGCCAUACUACCUGUACAGCCCAUGGAACCAUGUAUCAA